GACGAACGCUGGCGGCGUGCUUAACACAUGCAAGUCGAACGGAAAGGCCCUGCUUUUGUGGGGUGCUCGAGUGGCGAACGGGUGAGUAACACGUGAGUAACCUGCCCUUGACUUUGGGAUAACUUCAGGAAACUGGGGCUAAUACCGGAUAGGAGCUCCUGCUGCAUGGUGGGGGUUGGAAAGUUUCGGCGGUUGGGGAUGGACUCGCGGCUUAUCAGCUUGUUGGGGAGGUAGUGGCUUACCAAGGCUUUGACGGGUAGCCGGCCUGGGAGGGGGACCGGCCACAUGGGGACUGAGAUACGGCCCAGAAUCCUACGGGAGGCAGCAGUGGGGAAUAUUGCACAAUGGGCGGAAGCCUGAUGCAGCAACGCCGCGUGCGGGAUGACGGCCUUCGGGUUGUAAACCGCUUUCGCCUGUGACGAAGCGUGAGUGACGGUAAUGGGUAAAGAAGCACCGGCUAACUACGUG
rnacentral:rRNA from 1 species